CUUGCGCGCAGCCAUGGGUAAAUGGUGCGGUACGCCGCCCAUGACUGGAAACCCACAGGCACAGACAAAUCGAGUGUUGCGGGAUUACGGGUACGGCCGAUGGCGCAAGCCUUCGUCGGACCCCUCCAUCCCAGGGUGUCCCGUUCGGGUGCUUGCACCCAGCGGACAUCCCCGGAGUGCGUAGGAUGUGACCCGAAAGAUGGUGAACUAUGCCUGAUCAGGUUGAAGUCAGGGGAAACCCUGAUGGAGGACCGAAGCAAUUCUGACGUGCAAAUCGAUUGUCAGAGUUGGGCAUAGGGGCGAAAGACCAAUCGAACCAUCUAGUAGUGGGUUCCUU
rnacentral:rRNA from 1 species